GGCAGGCACUGGGCCUCUAAGCUAAAUCCCCAGCCCCUUUGUUUCUCCUUGACUAACAUUUUGGAGGAAAUGGUUCUGAGGCCAGCCAGAAAUGACGCCAGUGCUGCUCUCUUCCUGCUGGCAGUGGCAUUCACCUGCCAUGGAGAGAGAGAAAGGCCAUGCAUGCCUGGCUGGCCCUGGAGGGCCACCGUGGAGAAGGGAGGAGCCGCAUUCCUCUCCCCAACGCUGUACCCUGUGAGCUCCCAAGCGCCCCAGAGGCUGUAUUCCCGUUUGCAUUCACACAGAAAACCAGGCACCCUGACGAAAACCUGCCUCACUGGCUCCUGCCAGCCGUCUGACUCAGCCUGCUGUUCCAGACAGUUUGUCCCAGUCUCCUCGCUCCUCUGCCAGACCCGCUCCCCGCUGGAUCCAAUUCCCAGGCCAUUUCUGGCUUCUUGUUCAGCCCCUAGUCUCUGGAGCUGGGGUUUCCAUCUGGUGCUCCCCCAUGCCCACCACCUCAGCUCCCUGCAAGGCUCCCGUCCUGGCUGGGGCCUGCACACGCCCUCUUCUAGGGUGGCCCGGUGAAGGACAGAAUACCCAGGUAUAUUUGCAUUUCACAUACUUGAGAUCUUCUUAUUUAUUAUAAGACUUACCCACGUUUAUCUGAAAUCCUACUUGAACUGGGCAUCCUGGGUUGUUUUUGCUAAAUCUGCAGCCUUUUUCUGACUUGGGUUUGCCUUGGGGACUGUACCAGCUCUGGCCAACUCCCAGGACAGCACUCCUCAGUCUGCAGCCACCCAAAUCCCAAAGGUGGGCAUCAUUUCAAGUGAGCCCCACCUCCCCCGUCUCCUUUCCUGUGUCGAGGAGAGCAGUCUGCCCUGUAUAUAUCGACUUCCGCUGUACCAAAGGGGAUGAGAGAAGCUACAUUCAGCCCAUGUGUGUGCUCUGUCAUCCCCAGGGCAGACGACCUCCAGCUCAGCCUGCAAUCAGCCAUGGCUUGCGCCCAGGUAACUGACGUGUUUCCUUUACAGAUAUGCAGGCCUCUAGGCAAACAGAGGCGUCUGAGGUGUCAGAGAGCAGCCUGCAAUUCCCAGGAUCCUUUUAAGAGCUGAGGCUUUCCAGACUGUUGUGUUACAGGUACUAAAGCAGGUUUUCAUCUCCAAGGCAGAGAUUCUCCCUGAGACUCGGAAUAGUCCGUCAGACCUUCGAAGACUGCAAAGUCCAGCAGAGGAGACAGCAUGGGCAUAAAAACCAGCAUUUGCUCUGAGGCACCCACUGGGAUGGCAGGUCACUCAUAUGACAGUCAGAAAACUGGGCGCUCGGCAAGGAUGCAGCUGGACGUACAUCCCCAGUCUUGCAGUGUGGAUUUGUGGGAGGCUGAACAGAGGCUGUGAUUAGGGUGAAUAAUCAUCAGGGCGCAGUCACAGCAGUGAUGUCACACCAGCUGUGGACCCGGAAGUCAAUCUGGCAAGAAGACUUCUGUACGCAUGUCUCAGCCGUGUAACGUUUCUCAAGUUUUACUUUUUAUUAAUACGUGUUUUUGUACAUAACAAUUGCAUGCAUAAAUGGGAGUUAGAACAUGGACAUAACACAUCUUAAUUCUGACUUCCCUUCUCCCCCCCUCCAUCUCUUGGUCCCAUUUGCAGAAGGUCACUGCUUAAUUUAUGCUUAGACUAGCACAUGAGACGCAGGCCGAAGGCCAGACAUGUAGCCACAGGUGAGAGGCAGAAGUUGUGCGUGUUAGAGCUGCAGCAGUGUUGUUGAUAGCCACAGGAGAGAUGCUCACACAACCCACCGUGGUGGGCCCGAACCGGGUGGUGUUUUUCCUAGCAGAGAGGAGAAAAGUGGAUCUGGGGAAGUCUGUGCAUGUUUGUAUGUGAUAGAUAAGGAAAGGGAGCAAAGAACUGGUUCAUCCUAUGGGUUUGGAAGUCUUGUUUUAAAAUCCUGCUUCUUAAGUUCUGCUUACAAAUGGAAAGGGAAGUUGCAAGGCCUGACCAAUAAAGGUAGAUGACGUCUUUAUUCA